rnacentral:rRNA from 1 species
UACGUAGGUGACAAGCGUUGUCCGGAUUUACUGGGCGUAAAGAGCGCGCAGGCGGUCGAUCAAGUCGAGUGUGAAAGCCCCCGGCUCAACUGGGGAGGGUCAUUCGAUACUGAUCGACUCGAAGGCAGGAGAGGGUAGUGGAAUUCCCGGUGUAGUGGUGAAAUGCGUAGAUAUCGGGAGGAACACCAGUGGCGAAGGCGACUACCUGGCCUGUUCUUGACGCUGAGGCGCGGAAGCUAGGGGAGCAAACGGG